rnacentral:lncRNA from 1 species
UGUAACAGCUAUGGCCGUCAACAACCACCUCCUUCUAUGGCCGUCAACAACAACCACCAUCCCUCCGUCAACAAAAUCGUUCCAGCUCUUUGACUAGUUCCAAGAUUUAAUUUUCUUUUUUCUUCACCCAUAAACUUUAUCUCUUCCACCUGAAACAACUACCUCCUUCUAUUAAUCCAAGCUCCACAUUUUCAAAUAGCCCCAAAAUUUUAGGGUUUUUUCUCGACUAAGCUCGACCACCUCCUUUUGCAAUUUCUCAAUAGUUGAGCCAUAAUUUGUAGAUUCCAUUAGUGAGGAAGAAAUUGCAACUGAUAGCCGUGGGAUAAAUCGCGGUAAGUUUUUUUAAUAUCUUUUUAAUUUAAAUUUUAGAUAACCGCAUUUGACAGUUGUGUUUUUGAAUGAAUAUUUUAGUAUUAAUAUUCGUUAUUAUCCGAUUCAACUGAUUUUUAUUUUUGGGAGUAUUUGAGCGGCAUAGUAUAAUUGAAUGGAGAUUAAACACACUGGUGCAUGUCUUCUUAUUGUGCUUGAAAUUAUUAAUUUCAUUAAAAUUAUGCUUUACGUAGUACAAUUGAUAGGGUUUGAUUCUAUAUUUUGUUAGAUAUAUCACUGUUUGAUUUAGUUGUCUUUGUUAAAUUUUUGUUUCUUGUUCAACUUAACAACUUUAAAGCUGUGAGUUUUUUCUACUGAAGCUUUUAAUCUAAGUUAGAGUUCUAUUAGGAUUUUGUUGUACUAUAAUUUCUCCCUUUUUGUUCUUGUUAUAUAUGAGUUCGUAGCAUAUAUGUGACCUUACUUAGCACAGUUUAAUAUCUUUUCAUUAUAUACUGAAGUUAAAAGGUGAGCAAAAACCCGAAUAUGCUUGCUUGUUACAAGUAGAUAUCCAUAUCCCUUAUUUUGCCACGCUAAUGAUUUUUCUCAUUGUUAGCAACCAUAAGCCAGAAACUAAAGGAUAUAGUUUCUCAUUGUUAGCAACCAUAAGCCAGAAACUCCAGUUUAUGUGUUUGUCGUUGUAACUUACCUUCAAUUGAUAUAUUACAAUGUUGUCUGAAUAAGUCGUGUUAACUGAAAAAUGGUAAGGGCUUUCAAUCGUGAAAUCUUUUUUUGAUAUAAUGUUGACUUGGAAUUUGCUAAGGAGCAGAUAUAUGCUGCUGCAACUUUCUUUUCUUUCAGAACACUCUGAACUCAUAGCUGAUAUGAUUUCUUAUUGUCGAAGUCACCAUUAAAAUUGUAUACACAAAGUGAUACAUAUCUCUACGUAGGUUAAACUGAUCAUAUGUUUUCUUCUCAAUGUGGAAAGUACUAACACUAUUUGGAAAUCAUAAGCUUCUUGAUCAGUUUUAGAUUCCAUCCGGAGCUAUUUUUGGGCUAAAUUUUAUAGGCGAAUUGUGGUUAUUUAUAUUACAUGAACUCACUUAUAGAUGAGUAUCUGAUAUAAGCACAUCUAAUUGCUAUCUAGUACAUCAAAGUAAAUAAAGAAUCCAUGUAAUCAGGUGGCUAUUUAGAUUUUUUCAUUAUACUUAAUUUGAGCCUAAUAUGGAUAAGAGUUAACUUUGCUUACCUUGAAUAUCAAUUUUGGUGAUUUGAAUAUGUUAUAUAGAAUAAUUAUGGAUUACGGUGGCAAAAGUUGGAUGAAUCUCCUAAGAUGGACAGAUGAGUAUAUCUGUGGAGUGAAUAAAAUUAACUAAUAAUAGUGAUUGGUGAUUAUCUUUGCUUUGUACUAUUAUGGAGUGAAAGAGCGCAAGCAAAUUAUGCUAAAUCAGAACAAUCAACCCAUAGGUCCUACGGAUGAAGAGGUAAAUGAGUUGGGUAGCUUCCUCGGUACAUUGGCAAGGAAUGCAACCUUUUGUUUUCUUAAUGUGUUUAAUUGGAGGAAACUUGAGACAAAAGAAGAUUUGUGGAAAUAUAUCAAGGUUUGAAGUUCACAAUAUUUAAUAGGUGUGUGUGGAUAUUUCAUAUUGUUUAUACUAACCUAAAUGCAUUAUAUUUGUAGGGAAAAUAUGACAUUCAUGAAGAUGCAAAAACGUGGGUUUUUUAAUCAAUUCAAAAUGCUUGGAGAAAGUAUAAAAAUCAGUUAAAGAAAGACCAUUUUGAACCCUAUGAGAAUGAUGAGCUUCGAAUGGAGAAUGAAUCCAGGAUUACGGGUUGAUCCUAACAUGCUAACUUUCAAUGCUCGUUCACCUGGAGAAGCUUCCUUUGCACAACAAGCUGCUAUGCAACUAAUCAAUCGUCUAUAUCUACUGGGACUAACAAUCAAGGUCAGUACAUACUCCAAAUGUUACACCCCUUCUGUUGUUUUUCUACCACUGCUCUCUCUUCUAUUUUUUUUAGAGGAAAGUUAGUAAGAUGGCUAAGUCUGGUUAGUUUAGUCAUUUUUUAACUUCGCCUCCGAUCCUUUAUCAUUGCGUAAUUCUGAGGUUGCCUUGACGGCUCUUUGUUGUUGUAUACUUGCAAAGAAAGAUGCCACCUUUCUCAUUCUACUUUAGCUGUCAAUCCUACUUAGCCAAAAGAAACAGAGGAUGUUAGCUUGAAGAAGUAUCAGAAUGAUCAGUCCUAGUGUUUUGAAUUUUUUUUUAAAAUAUGAUCUUUCAAAGUAAAACAAAAUCAAAUGCAAAUGUCAUGAUGCCUUAACUCUUGCUUCCUUCAAAUUAUAGAACGUGCGGGUUCAUAAUGUAGUUUCUUCCCAAUCUAUUAGGGAGAAUUCUACUUCUAGAACUAAAGAAUUAAAAUAUUAAAUUAAUAUUAGGAACUCAAAAGUAAAUGUCUAUGAGAACAAUUUUUGUAUCCAUAAAGUUAUCAGAUUAGAAUAUUGGAAAAUACAUUUUAUAUUUAUCAAAAUUUCUCCUCCCGUAUAUUUGAAUUUUGGUAGUUUUCCAUGAAAGCUGAAGUGUUCUACUUUAAAUAAGUAUUUACAAUUCCAAUUUACUAAAAUUCUCUAAAAGACUAGUUGUAUCCGGUAGUAAGUAUAAUGUAUCAAGAUUUAGGCUUCAACCACUCUCCUUCAAGGAGAUUUUACUCUGUAUACAUGUUCUUCUCCUAUGCAUUUAUCUACCUUAACAAUCCAAUGUCCUCUUUUUUCUAUUACCUGAGCCGUAACCUUUUUCGCCUUUGCACCAAUUCUGGUCAGCAUCAGCCCUUCUCCUACGACGCAUCCUCUUGUUUAUUGAGUUGCUGCCACCAGUGCAAGGGUGGUGGAGUCUGCAACAUUUGCACAAGCAACUACCAUAAGUUGUACAUUAUUUCCUGCUGCGAGCGCGGAGAUGAACUCUGCUCCGUUUGGUUCUGUAGCUCUCUUUCCCUGAAUCAGAUCAACAUAACAUUAGUAACAACUUGAGGAGAAAAAAUUAUUUGAAUUGUAUAUCAGAUUGCAGAUAUGAUAAGUUCAUAAUUGUACUUACCAUGUUCAUGGUUUUGAGAAAAGCUUUAGUGGCAUUUUCAGCAGACCAACAACCCAUUUUCUUUUCUUUUAUAAUUUUCUCUUGAUAUUUUUUUCCAAUUUUUGAAAGAAGCAGAGAGCUAGAGAUGUAUUUAAGCCUGCUUGAGUUAGUUUGGUAAGGCAUCUACAUUUAUAUAUAGGGUAGGUAGAACCUAUGUCCAUGUGGAAUUUAAUUAGUAAAAAUUCUCAAGUUGGUGUUACAAAAUAAAAUAUACUGAAUAUUAAUAAGAAAGGACGGCUUUUUCUUUAAAUUCAUGGAAUUAAGAUUGCCAUAGGAGAAUUGCAUAAUGUCAAAAUGUCAUAUUUCUUGCUGAUACUGUCUUGUUUCUUCCUGUUUAAAAACCUAAUACUGUCUUGUUUCUUGCUGAGCUGCAACUUAACAGCAGAAUUGCAGCAAUUAAAAGUUGAAAUCUAGGUUGUUUCUGAUCGGUUUUCUGCAGUAAUUUUGGCAGCAAAUCUGUACGGGUGAGCUCUCAAGUUAGCUAUUUUUUGGUUUAAGUCAAAUCUGCACGGGUGGAUAUGGUAAUAUCCUUUUUUCUUUCUAUUGAUGUUCCUAUUUCAAUAUUAUUGGUAUCCAACUUCUCUGUGACCGACUGAGAGUCAAUGGUUGAGGUUGUAGUUGUGGUUGGGACUUGGUACUUAUGUGUCAAACUUGAUUGUCUUGUUUAGGGUUCCUGCGUUUUCGGGCAUUGUACAUUGCUAAGAAGUAGCUCUAAGGUUCAUUCUUGUAGCAAUUUUGGAUUAGUACUGCAUUAUAUGUUUAGAAUUGGACAGUGAUAUAGAUAUGUGUUUAAGUUUGCUGAGGACUUCACUGACUUGGUUAGAAUGCGUAUCAAAAUCACACCUUCUAAUUGGUCUGUAUAUUAAUAACCCUAUCCAAUAUCCUUAUCUCCACCACAUAUAUCUGAAUAACAAAACGUUUGAACAUUAACAUUAAUUGACUGAAACACUAAGUUCUUAACAAAUUAAAAACUACAACAUGUAGCAGACUUUCUGUAUAAAAUUAAAAGUCAGAGUAUAAAUGUGUUUUUGCACUUAAAUAGUCUCCAACACAUAGGAAUUACUUCACUUGGAGAAAAAAUAUACCUUUGACCUUUCCCAAGCUCCUUUUCUUAUCCCCUUUGUGAGGUUGGUCACCACAAUAGAUCCCACAAUCGUGGCUUGACCACCAGAGUGGCCUGCAAUUCAUAACAACAAGAAUGGUAAUAAUGCUAGGAUAGAUAAAGAACAACAUCCAAAGAAAGCCAUUACCCAAAAUUUAAAGCUUACUCUUAACAUUGUCUGCAAGCUUUUCAGCCUCAGCUUUUAAUAAGUACUACUAUAAAGUUGCUAGUUGUUGCUUCAUUUUUCAAAAUAUUUUAAGUCCAAAAGUUGUUGCCUUUACAUAUUUAAGUGGGUAAGUGUAAUAAUCUUGAUUUCUUGCUACAUGUUUUAACUUGUUUUAGAGGUUUCUGACUUUGUCAAAUGUAAUCUUGGAAUAAUAUUGGAAGAAAUUGAAUUUUAAGUUGCUUCUUCUAUUGUCUAAUAUAUAUACUCCAAUGACUUGAUGUCUUUACAUAUUUACCUGGGUAAGUUCAAAGAUCUUGAUUUCUUGCUUCAUAUGUGCCCUUUCUAGAUGUUUAUUACUUAGUCAAUAUACUCUGUAUCAGAUUGGAAGACUUGAUUUCUGAAGUUAUUUUUUUUUAUAUUUUUUUUAAUAUAUAGUUCAUAAAAGUUAGCCUCUUUUACAACUUAGUUGGGUGUAAGUGUAAUGAUCUUGAUUUCUUGCUUCAAAUGGAAGAAAUGUACAAUCAGAUCAUGUUGUUUUAUUCAUAAAAGUUAGCUGAAGCUAUUCCAUUACUUUUAUUCCUUUGAAAAAGUAAUGGAAGUACAAUCAGAUCAUGUUGUUUCAUUCAGAAGUUUAAAACUGUUAAUAACUUUAUUUAUCCUCUUUUGUAGGUGGAGUAGAUCAAGAAAUGGAUGAUGAAGAAGAACUAGACCUUACUUGAGAUAGAAUUUUGAAUUGUUAUAGAUGAAUGUUCUAGGAAUCUUUUGUUAUCAACAUUUUUGAAACUUACUUACUCUCUUGAAAUGUACUAAACUUAUGCACUUGAGGUACAACAUUUGCUUUAUGGAUAUUAUUUGCUUGAAGGAUAAUUUUAUAUUAUUAAUAGUUUCAUUUUAUGAUGUA